GACGAACGCUGGCGGCGUGCUUAACACAUGCAAGUCGAGCGGUAAGGCCCUUUCGGGGGUACACGAGCGGCGAACGGGUGAGUAACACGUGGGUGACCUGCCCUCAGCUCUGGGAUAAGCCUGGGAAACCGGGUCUAAUACUGGAUAUGACUCCAUGACGCAUGUUGUGGGGUGGAAAGCCUUGUGCGGCUGAGGAUGGGCCCGCGGCCUAUCAGCUUGUUGGUGGGGUGANGGCCUACCAAGGCGACGACGGGUAGCCGGCCUGAGAGGGCGACCGGCCACACUGACACUGACAUACGGGUCAGACUCCUACGGGAGGCAGGCAGUCGGGAAUUUUGGGCAAUGGGCGAAAGCCUGACCCAGCAACGCCGCGUGAAGGAU
rnacentral:rRNA from 1 species